rnacentral:rRNA from 1 species
GACGAACGCUGGCGGCGUGCUUAACACAUGCAAGUCGAACGGAAAGGCCCUGCUUUUGUGGGGUGCUCGAGUGGCGAACGGGUGAGUAACACGUGAGUAACCUGCCCUUGACUUUGGGAUAACUUCAGGAAACUGGGGCUAAUACCGGAUAGGAGCUCCUGCUGCAUGGUGGGGGUUGGAAAGUUUCGGCGGUUGGGGAUGGACUCGCGGCUUAUCAGCUUGUUGGUGGGGUAGUGGCUUACCAAGGCUUUGACGGGUAGCCGGCCUGAGAGGGUGACCGGCCACAUUGGGACUGGGGUACGGCCCAGACUCCUACGGGAGGCAGCAGUGGGGAAUAUUGCACAAUGGGCGGAAGCCUGAUGCAGCAGCGCCGCGUGCGGGAUGACGGCCUUCGGGUUGUGAACCGCUUUCGCCUGUGACGAAGCGUGAGUGACGGUAAUGGGUAAAGAAGCACCGGCUAACUACGUG